rnacentral:rRNA from 1 species
UACGAGGGGGGCAAGCGUUGUUCGGAAUUACUGGGCGUAAAGCGUGCGCAGGCGGUUUUGUAAACCAAAUUUGAAAUCCCCGGGCUUAACCUGGGAAUGGCAUUUGGGACUGCAAGGCUGGAGUUUGGCAGAGGAGACUGGAAUUCCUGGUGUAGCAGUGAAAUGCGUAGAUAUCAGGAGGAAUACCGAUGGCGAAGGCAGAUCUCUGGGCUAUAACUGACGCUCAUGCACGAAAGCGUGGGGAGCAAACAGG